GCAGCCUUACCUUGCAUUUCUGCAAGAGGCUGUUUCCACGGCUCGAACCCGUGACCUCCAAGUCAGAAUCAAUUUCAUACCCAAGCUUUAAAAAAAAAUAGUUAUAAAUUUUUUUCAGACUUAAUUUGUAUUUUGUAGUUCAAGAAUAUAACUUAGUGCAGUUAAAAUUUAUUAUUUUGUACAAAUAACUAAGUGUAAUUAAAAUAUUACUAUUUUUUAUAAUAAUUUAAUAACCAAGGAUGCAAAUAUAAGUACUAGUUACUACUUACUAGUAAUAUAAUAGUAUAUAUUUGAAAGUGUCCAUUGAAAAAGCAAAACUUCAGAAGAAGAAACUAAAAAAAAAAAAAAAAAAAAGCAAAAUUAUAUGGCGCCUAAACCCUCCACCUCUAAAUUAUGGACACUCUCGCGCCAUUAUUGUAGUUUCUUAUUCUCUAAUUUCAACCCACGUUUAGCAUAUCAAUACUUAUAUGUAAAUCUCAACUGAAAGAAAAUCUCAAGCUACAGUAUCCCCAAUUUGUCUGUCACUCUUGAAUUUUAAGUUUCACAAUCCUUUCGGCUAACUGCUUUGAAAUCGCAGAUAUGGCACCUAGGGGAGGUGGACCAAGUAGAUAUUCUGAAAAAAGGAAUGUGAAUCCGCUGGCAUCUCAUCCUAUGUUUACUCUCGCACCUAAUCAAACACCACUAUCACCUGAAUCCUCGGCACCAGAAACACCACAUUCAGUCGCAACAGUCAAUAGAUCUGUACCAUCAUCAUCUUCUGGGCUUGAUACACCUAGAGAUGAAAUAGGAUCAGCAAGAUCUUCAAAUACUAUUGAUGGUACUCAUAUCCAAAUUGAAAUCGUCCUUGGAGGGUAAGAGUACAAGUGCCACACCAUUUACAUUUUUAUUAAUUUUGGUUUCAUGCUUAUAUUGUAUGUAUCAAUCCAUCUUUGUGAAUUGAUAUGAGAUUGAUGUUUAGCAUCUACAUAUAGUAUACAUACUCUGGACUAAUGGUUUGGGGACGAUUUUCUUGUUAUUGACAUGUAAAAAAACUUAUUUGUUUUAAAGAAGACAAUUUAGUUGUCAUACCAUGUUUCUGAAUAAAAUGACUUUGAUUAUGAGUGGAUAGUCUAUGAGUAAUUUUGACUACAAAAAUCUUCCUGUGAUAUUAUCAAACAACAAGAUCGUCUCUCACUAUCUGCAUAUAAAGAGGUUGAAUUUUGAACUAGUAAUUAUUUCAUUUUCAUUAAGUCUAUGAAGAAAGAAUGUUGCGGUCUAUAGAUGUCUACGUUGAGCUCUUAUGCAUAUGCAAUCUUUGUGCUUUGAUAGUUGUUGUUCUGCUCUAGCACCAGGACGUUCUUACAAAGAAACUAGAGGAAUGGCACGAGCUUCUUAUCUUUUUAAAUAUGGCAGGCCAAGGACUUCAAAUGAAUAGGCCAUUUGAUUUAUCUGUUGUAGCAACAAGGUGCACUUGUUCAAGAAAUGGGAGAAAGUUGAGAGCUUAUCUUUUUUCAAUAUGGUGAACAAUGGUUGGAAAUCAAUAUAUGCUUAUGGAGUUGUCUUAUUAGUCAAACCAUUUGUCUUAUAUUUUAUAUGAAGUAAGGCGACUGUGGCGAUGAGUAGUACUAAAACAGUGGUAGAAUUGAUGGCAUUAUUAAGGCCUUCAACAUGAAUUUAUCUAUGUGUUUAGCAAUGCCACGUAUAUGAUUUCUUGUAUGUGGUGUAUGUUUCAUUUGAUAGUGCACUUCAUGUUUCCAUGUCAUUAAUUGUUUGCUUAAAUUCUCUUGAUGACUUUGUUGCCCGAGACUCGACGCUCACGCACUUUGUACACAUGUUCCCUUUAGAAUGGCUGCAAUAUUAUCUUGUCCUAGUUUCUAUGUAGUAUCAAGGGUUGUUUCACUAGACCUAUUGUAGUAGCAAGUAAUCUGCCUUAUUUUAUCGCUUAUGUGUUAUCUUUUACCUGACUGGUGAGUGUAAAAUUGUUAUGCUUAUCACUUAUUCAAGCCCGGAUCCAAAUAAUAACGUAGCUCGAGUAGUCACAAAAAUCUUCAAGGAGAAGCUGGAUCACGAAGGACAUAAUUGGAAAUUCGUUACACCAGAGACAAAGGAUUUCUAUUGGGAGGAGUUUAAGAAAAGAUUUUGAUGGGAUAUUGCAAUUGAAGGUUCCAUAAAGGAUGCGUUUAUGAGCAUAUGGUGCAGAACAAUACAAGGGUAUGUUAUCUGAAGCAAGAGCAUGUGAGAAGAAGCGCAAACAUAUCUUGGUAUCUAUUUGGGAUAGGUGGAAGCCUCAUUGGGAGACUGAGGCUUUAAUCCAAGUUCGCACGAUGUUCAAAAAAUCGACUAAGUGAAAAAGGUGGCGAAGGAUCUGGCCCCUCACGCCAUACAGGAGGCUCUAGAACUUACCAAGAACAUGCAAGACUACUGGGUGUAGAUCUAGAAAGACCACCUCAUCCACAUGAGCUUCUGAAGAAGACACAUCUCAAGGCGAAUAAUGAGUUUGUGGACCAGAAGUCUAAGAGCACAUAUAUGCCGUAAUAUCUAAGAUUGCAUCUGCAUCACAGCUUGAAGAUGGAUCCCAUGAGCCUCCAACGGUUAAUUUCUCACAAAUUUAUUUGGAUGAAGUGGUGGGGUUAAGACGACGCGCAUUUAUGGUCUUGGUUCUCAAGCACCUCUUUAUAGACAUGUUGGUGCAUCCUCCACUUCAACAUCUUGGCAUCCAGAUCUAGACUUUGAUGCUCGGGUGAAUGAAUGUGUCGGGCAACAUAUGCAAGAAAUGAAGGAAGAGAUGAAGAAUGAGAUGAGAGCAGAGAUCAGAGAAGAGAUUAGACAAGAAAUGGAAGAAGAAAUGCGACAAGAAUUGCGUGAAGAAUGAGACAAGAAGUGCAGCAAGAGGUGACUGAGCAAGUUGAUCAAAUACUCCAGUCACGUAUGUCUCUCAUCACGUAUGAAGAAUUAGAGAAGAGAUUAGACAAGAAAUAGAAGAAGAAAUGCGACAAGAAUUGCAUGAAGAAUGAGACAAGAAGUGCAGCAAGAGGUGACUGAGCAAGUUGAUCAAAUACUCCAGUCACGUAUGUCUCUCAUCAUAGCCGGCUUACCUAGCUACACCUUCUUCUCGUAGACGUGACUCUUCAUCAAAUAAUGACAAGAAUCCUAUUUAGAUUUAUUUAGAGUCUUUUAUGUUAGACACACUUUGGAUCGUUUAUUAACUUUAUGAUGGAUGUUAUUGUUUAAGAAAUAGCUAUAGUUUUUUUAGAUUUUG